AGUCCAUAGCAGCAUGGAAGACUAGUGAUUUUGUUGUUUUGUGGUUAAACUGACAACAAGUCACUGUCUCCCUCACUGCUUUGAGACA
rnacentral:pre_miRNA from 1 species